rnacentral:sRNA from 1 species
CAUGUGAAAAGGUCCAGAGCUCUGCAGUGUGAGCUUUCUACUGAAAUGGCCCUUGGACUUUGUGGUUCAUUCAUACUCAGUGGUCUAGCUUGUACUACUUUUGAGAAUGCAAAGCUUAACUGUGGACGGAUUCCAAUCCUGGCCAGGCAGGGUUGCUGGACACUCUGAGAGAAGAAAGGGUUAAUCCCAUGACCAUCAACUUCCAUGGGAUUUCAGCCAUCCUGGACAAGCUACCACACCCUCCUGCCCCAGGGGAGGAGGAAAUGUGGACCAUCCCAUCAGAUAUUGACCAG